ACGUAAAAUGUGAUAAGUUCCUCUCGUGUGUAUGUAUUUAUGUAAAUCUAAAUCCUACUCAAUCCCAUUUAAGCAAGUGAAAUUUUAUAAAUUUACGUAUUUGUGUACAUAGCUGCACCUGUUAACCUGGAAAUGAAUUACAUCACGUCGCUCGUUUUCUGCACUACUUUUUCUCUACCAGAAUUCGUGAAAUCUGACAUUUCUCGUGGUACUGCAAUCACAAUUACGAACUAUGGUUCAAAAAAUGCCUUCACAAGCCGUGCCCACCCUGGAAUCGUUGCUGAAAUAAGUGACGGCUCUGUCUUUUUUGUCUGGCUGUACAAUUCUGUUGAAACGAUAGCCAACUACGACAAUAAAACCACCAGCGGGAAACAUGUCUGCAUUACGGACAACACCCUGGAAAAGUACGUAACGCUUGAACCCUGCGACGCUACGAAUCGAGGUCAAAUAUGGAACUUUGCAAAACAAAAGAAAAACGGCACCUUUACAAUUAAGAAUUUGCGUUCGAAAAGAUGUCUGAACAAUAACCAGGAUACAAUAAUCGUUGAAAGGAAGGUGUGCAUCCAUGAGGACGAUGGUCCAAACAUUUAUCAAAAAUGGAGAGUCGAACCAUACGUGUAAUAUCAUAAAAUUAGUAAAUGCGUGAUCGUGAUUAGGGAUAUAAUGUAAAUGAUAAAUUGUUUCAAAUUGAAUUGCUCACAAUUAUCAUUUUAAUAAUAAAAAAAACAUGUUGGGACACAUUCACGUGAGAACAAGCUGGUCAAAUGAAUUUAUGUAAACGGAUUUUAUAAAUGGAUUUAUGUACCACCGUUGAACGCACAAAAAUAAUUGUUCCCAAUGUGAAAAUAUUGGCAAAUAAAGAUAAAUACAAAUUGAUGAUAUAAAUAAA